UGUUAAUUAAUGCAUGCUUCUUAAAAUUGCUCAGCUCUAACUUGUUUAUUUGCAGGUGAAAGAAAGAAAUGAGAAAUAAGCUAAAGCAGGGAGGGUCACGCAAUGCAAUCUUUCCAUAAAUUUGACAGAUGGAAUAACAAAGGCCAAUGUGGUGAUGAUGCUGAGUUUCUUCUGACUUUACAAAGAUGGGGAAAAAUCAUUCAAGAAUGGAAAGAUCCAGUGCCUGAUCUCAGUAGAUCCUGCAGAUGCGCAGCUUAUCAGGAUUACGGUAUGCUGAAGCAGUGCAGCCCCACCAAGGAAGAGAUGCUGGCAGAUAAAACAACAUGACCACUUCACUGUGCAAGCCAAGCCCAGAAUCAUUUUCUUCCAGGAGUCUGCAUUGAGAAUACACAUGCUUUUUACUGUGGAUUCAAGUCUUACAACACAAAAGUAUCAAAUAGUGAUGACAUACAAUCUUGAAAAGGCAACAAUUGUUUCAUAUGAAAACUGCUUAGGUGUAAAGUAAAUACAAAUUAAAAAGUACUUAAAAAUAUAGCCUAAUAUGCCGAGUUGGCCUUGUUGUUUGAAAAUUAAUUUAAAAUUCAUAAAACCAAAAUAACUUAGAAAAAGGCAACAUUUGCCAACUUGAUAAAAUCACAUUAAAGCACAUAAAAUUUAAAAAUCACUACUAUUUACUGAAAAAAAAUCAACCAAGUUGUUUUAGGAUAAUUGAUACAGAACUGUAGGCACAUUGACCAAUUAAGUAGAGAACUGCUAAUCAGACAAAGAACACAUAAUUGGCUAAAAUGUAUUUAACAUUAUUUAGAAAUUCAAAACAAAGAGGAAUCUCCCAAAACUCUGAAAAAUGGGAAAAUGUUUAAAAUUAUAGAAGUCAUUGAAUAAUUUUCUCAUGUUACUUUAACCUUACAAUUAUAUAAAGACCAGUGAUGGGGAAAAUUUAUUUUUGACUGACUUAACAUUUUGACCAAUUUCAUUUUAACCACUCGAUUUGCAGUCAUUGAGCAUAAGCACAAGGCUUAAAAUUGGAGAAUGGUAGUGAUAAUGUACAUUAAAAUUUUCUGGAGAAUUAAAACUCAGCAUUCAUCUAGUUUAUUUUUUCUCUAUUGCUGUUUCAUGGGAUGAUGGAAUUCUCUAUUACAAUUUUUUUCAUCCUUUGUUUGGAGCUAUUGUAGUUGUGGUUGUCUUGUCUAUCCUCUUUUUCUCUUUGUUUUAGCAACUCUUCAUAGAGAACUUAUGGAUUAUUUAGCCCAUAUUGUUUGGAAUGAUAUCUCUGAAUUAUAAUCUAAAUACAGUAAUUUCAUGGAUGGAAAAGUUGAGCCCAGUCCAUACUGUUUUAUCUUAGUCUAGCAUAUUUUUCACUAUACUCAACAGCUUUGGUAUAACCUUCAGGAAAUUUUUUAAAUAUUGCAUCAAAAUAAAGUAAACUUCCCCUGUAAUUUCA
rnacentral:lncRNA from 1 species